CACGUAGGGUGCAAGCGUUAAUCGGAAUUACUGGGCGUAAAGCGUGCGCAGGCGGUGAUGUAAGACAGAUGUGAAAUCCCCGGGCCUAACCUGGGAACUGCAUUUGUGACUGCAUAGCUAGAGUCCGUCAGAGGGGGGUGGAAUUCCACGUGUAGCAGUGAAAUGCGUAGAGAUGUGGAGGAACACCGAUGGCGAAGGCAGCCUCCUGGGCCAGCACUGACGCUCAUGCACGAAAGCGUGGGGAGCAAACAGG
rnacentral:rRNA from 1 species